GAGUUUGAUCUUGGCUCAGAGCGAACGCUGGCGGCAGGCCUAAUACAUGCAAGUCGAGCGCCCCUUCGGGGGAGCGGCGGACGGGUGAGUAACGCGUGGGAAUGUGCCCUUUGGUACGGAACAACACAGGGAAACUUGUGCUAAUACCGUAUGUGCCCUUCGGGGGAAAGAUUUAUCGCCAUUGGAGCAGCCCGCGUUGGAUUAGCUAGUUGGUGGGGUAAAGGCCCACCAAGGCGACGAUCCAUAGCUGGUCUGAGAGGAUGAUCAGCCACACUGGGACUGAGACACGGCCCAGACUCCUACGGGAGGCAGCAGUGGGGAAUAUUGCGCAAUGGGGGAAACCCUGACGCAGCGACGCCGCGUGGGUGAUGAAGGCCUUC
rnacentral:rRNA from 1 species